rnacentral:miRNA from 1 species
CGGAUAGCUGCCUGAAGCCCCCGGAGCGCAGCGGGAGUUUCCGCUGCGCUCCAGGGGCUUCAGGCAGCUUCAGCG